GACGAACGCUGGCGGCGUGCUUAACACAUGCAAGUCGAACGGAAAGGCCCUGCUUUUGUGGGGUGCUCGAGUGGCGAACGGGUGAGUAACACGUGAGUAACCUGCCCUUGACUUUGGGAUAACUUCAGGAAACUGGGGCUCAUACCGGAUAGGAGCUCCUGCUGCAUGGUGGGUGUUGGAAAGUUUCGGCGGUUGGGGAUGGACUCGCGGCUUAUCAGCUUGUUGGUGGGGUAUUGGCUUACCAAGGCUUUGACGGGUAGCCGGCCUGAGAGGGUGACCGGCCACAAUGGGACUGAGAUACGGCACAGACUCGUACGGGAGGCAGCAGUGGGGAAAAUUGCACAAUGGGCGGAAGCCUGAUGCAGCAACGCCGCGUGCGGGAUGACGGCCUUCGGGUUGUAAACCGCUUUCGCCUGUGACGAAGCGUGAGUGACGGUAAUGGGUAAAGAAGCACCGGCUAACUACGUG
rnacentral:rRNA from 1 species